AGAGUUUGAUCCUGGCUCAGGAUGAACGCUGGCGGCGUGCUUAACCCAUGCAAAUUGAACGAUGAUUCCAGCUUGCUGGGGGAUUAGUGGCGAACGGGUGAGUUACCCGUGAGUAACCUGCCCUUGGCUUUGGGAUAAACCUGGGAAACUGGGUUUAAUACCGGAUAUGGCCGCUCUGACGCAUGUCAGGUGGUGGAAAGCUUUUGUGGUUUUGGAUGGACUCGCGGCCUAUCAGCUUGUUGGUGGGGUAAUGGCCUACCAAGGCGACGACGGGUAGCCGGCCUGAGAGGGUGACCGGCCACACUGGGACUGAGACACGGCCCAGACUCCUACGGGAGGCAGCAGUGGGGAAUAUUGCACAAUGGGCGCAAGCCUGAUGCAGCGACGCCGCGUGAGGGAUGACGGCCUUCGGGUUGUAAACCUCUUUCAGUAGGGAAGAAGCGAAAGUGACGGUACAC
rnacentral:rRNA from 1 species